UACACCUUUAUUAUUAUUAUUAUUUUAUUAUUAUUAAGAGGAUGUAAAUCAGACAUUGCCUGGGGGGUUGGUUUUGUCGGUUUGCUUUUUUUGUUCUUGCAAAGCCCUUUCUAUCCCUUGUAAAGGUGAUCCAGUUCGGAGUUGCUUUUUCUUUUCUAUUUUUUUUUCUCCCCAUCUUUUUAUUUUCUCUCUUCUUAAUGGAUUCCAAAUAUUAAAAAAAAAAAAAAAGAAAAAAAAAAGAAAAAAAAAGAAAAACCCUUUAAAAAAAAGGAAAAAAAAAAAAGACUCUCUGUUCCAACCUGGUUUUGAAACUUUUCUGCUUCUGUAAAGAAAAAAAAGGCCUCUGUCUUUCUGAUCCCAAUUGAAACUUUUAUGUUCUAUGACGAUACUAACAAGGUGUAGGUUUUACAGUUUCCUGAUUUGUACUGGUAAUGCAUAUUCCAAAUAAAUAGUUUCUUUUGUUGCAAAAAAAAAAAAAAAAUCAAAAAAAACCAAAACCCUGAAACCAAACCUGGUGUAUUUUUUGGGGAGGAAAAAGAAGAAAACGAGAUACCCUGGGGGGUUCCCCAGGAGGUGCAGGAAGGGUUUGGGGUGCAGAGGUGGGAGUGGACAAAGGCAAUAAAUACCCUGGUGCUGGGAUGGUGUGAGCCAGAGGGAUGUGAUUUGGGAUUCUGCCUCAGUUUCCCUGGGCACACAGAGGCAAGUGCUCCUGGACAUGUGGCCAAUGCCAAAAAAAAAAAAAAAAAAAAAAGCAAAACAAAACAAAAAACCAAACACCAAAAACCCCACCAAAAAACACAUCCAAACAAAACAGAAACCAAACAAAAAUACAAAAAAAAAAAAUCCCUUUACUGCUUUUUUGGACUUUUUAAGUGCACUGUUUUCCAAAUAAAGCUAGAAAUGGGAUAUUCUUUAUCACACCAAGGUGUGGGGCAGGACGGGGGGGCAGGGGAAGGCUUGAUAGCCUCUCCUGUUUUCCUGGGGUGGAGGUUAUUUUAAAAAAGGGGAAAAAAAAUCAAAACCGUUUCUGGGAAGAAAAAGAAGUAAUUUUCAAUUUAAAAAUAAUUUGUCAUUUUAAAAACAGCCCGUGCAUCGGACGAAAAGCAGGACAGCUCUGCCUUGUGCAGAGAGAUUUUGGAUGGAAUAGGGGGUGGCUGGAUGUGUGCCACAAUCACCCCGAGCAGAGGGGAAGAAUCCCUGGCCAUGAAUCCCCCGGGAAGGCAGAGCUGGAUGCUGAUGCUGGUGCUCCCCCAUGGAUUUCUUGUCAAUGAUUAUUCCAUCUCCAGCCUGACCUUUCUCUUCUAAAUAACACGGCAAUAUCAGCCCGGGCCAGCCUCCAGCUCCGGCUGCAAAUUAACUGUAUCGCUCUCCGGCAGAGCCCCCCGAGCUCCCCGGCACAGCCCGCCCCAGGAAUUAUCUCGCUCUGCUGAUACCAGUUUAAAUAUCAGCCUGCUCCCAGCUGGUCCCUUCCCAGACCCGCUCAUCCCCCUCCAAACUGGGAAUAAAUGUCAAGUCUGGCCGGGCCCGGCGGUGCUGGAGGGGAUGCGCGGAUGCUUUUGGGGCUGCCACACGUCCUUUGGGACCAGGGUGGGCUUGGGCACCUGGAUCCUCGCCCAGCUCGUGUCUUGGCCGAAAACAGGCAGGUUUGAGGUGGGAAAAGGGCAUUUGCAGCCUCCCAGAGCCAGGCUGGGCGCAGCAUCCUCCCUGUCUUCCUGCCGCUAUUCCUCCUCGCUCGUGGAUGAAAGGGAAUUUUUGGUGCCACUGCCCCCAAAACUUCAUUGUAAGGGAAACCCACAAAUGCCAAACUGGAUGAUUUGCCUCUUCCUUGCCAUCUCCAUCCCCUUCUCUGCAUCCACACUUUUUCUCCUUCUCCCCCUGCCACUCCCUUAUCUGUAGGAUUUUUUUCCCCCCCUCUUUCUGUUUCCUUGGUUUCGGGUAACCAAGUUCAGCAAACCCCGAGGUGCAGCUCCUGCACUUUUCCAUUUCACGCUGCAAUAUUUUAGACCCAAAAAUCACAGGGAAAAAAGGCACGGCAUGCACCGAGACCUGCAUAAUUCUCCCAGCAGAAGCUCCAAAAGGCUUUUUGGUGAGCAGACAGCAGCGGUUUGGUGGCAAACAGCCCGGGCUGGAGACACACACUCACGUUAUUAAUAAUCCUUCCCUCCUAACCGAGGGGCUGGGAGGUGUUAAAAGUUACAGUUCGCAGUAAAGCCCCGUCUACUGGCAGGAGAAUUUAAUAUACGGCAGAAGUUUCCCCUAUAAAAAGCCAGGGUUAUGUUUUCCUCCAGUUCACCGGGAGUCUAUAACUUACGACCUCCAUAAAUGUGAGUGGGUCUCACUAGUCAGCCCAUCAGUCUUUGGAGUAAUUCUGCUUUGUAGUAAAAUAUUUUAUUGUGCCUUGGAUGCAGCCAGCCCGCCCUACCCUGCUCGGGGUGGGUGGCUGUCCCCACAUCCCUCCUGUGCCAGCACCAUGGGGAUGGCAUGGAGGGCCUAAAAAAUAAAAUUCCAUUUAAAAAAAGGUAAUUAAAUUAAAUUAAAUUAAAUUACAGUGCAGUAAAAGCAAAGAAUAAAAGAUAUUAUAAGAUAAAAAAAAAAUGCAGGUAAAAUAAAAUGAAUGUAAGAUAAAUUUAAAUUAAACAAAAUAAACUCAAACCAAAAUAAUAAAAUUAGAAUAGAAUAGAAACAAAAUAUCCUGCCCCCCGGGCAAGAGCUGUUGAGAACGUGUGCUGCACCUUUUAAUUAUUGCUAAUGAGGUAGAGUUUUAAUCGCUUUAGCGGGGAAUUGUGGCAUCGCUGUGUGCUGGCAGUGCCGGGGGUUGCGUGGGAAGAGGGAACCCAGGGAUAGAGCAGUGUGGGGGGUGCUCGAGGAUGAAACCCAGAGGAGGGGGGGCAGAUGGAUGGCACAAAGGCAGGGCUGGACCAAGCUGAAGCAGAAGAGUAAUAUACCAAAAAACAGGAAAAAAAAACCAAAACCACAAAAAUUUCCAAAAGGAAUCUCAUCACUCCCUUACCAAACGCCCCCAUCCCGUUGCUUGCAGCCGUCGCUGACCCCAGGCAGGGCAGCUGAGGGGCGCAGGGAGAGCCCAGGUAAUUAAAAAUGCAAAUGAACGCUGGGGCCACACGGCUGCCGGCGCCUUGCGAAGGUGCAAAUGACAAAAGGGGUUUUUUUGGCCACUCGGAGCGGAGCCGAGUCCCCUGGCUGGGACAGGCUGCGUCUUCCCUCUGCUUCCAGGAACCUCCCGAGCAGAGAAAAGCUGGCAGGAAAAAGGAUGGGAGAAAAGGAGGUUCAUUAAAAAAAAAAAAUAAAGAAGUUUUCCCUGAUUUUUGUUGUGUUGGGUUCCUCCCCGCCUUUGUUUUCUUCCCAGCGUUUGAUUCUUUAGAUGCAAAAGAAGGAGAUAUAAUCAGAAACAAAUAGUUCCUAAAAAACAAAUUCCACAGGGGCUAAAGCAGCCCGGCCCCCUGCCACAGAUCCCUCAGUCCUGCACCGCGCUGCCUUUGUGCCGCUGCCCCAAAAAUUCAAUGUAUGCUUGGAAACACGGCAAAAUCCCAGCUGCAACGUGCCCAGCGUGGAGAAUAAAGUCAGCACGGUGGUUUUCGGGUGACCCACGUGUGCCGUGUCCAGACAACACCCCAAACUGAAGCCGAUCUCCCCGGCCCUGCCAAAAACAGGUUUUUGCCCGAUUCUCGUGGUUUUAGGGGCAGUUUGGCAGCGACGGCAGCGACCGCGCCAGCGAUUCUCGCACUCGCUGACUCAGCUCCAGCACAGCUCCCUUGUCCUCCUGCUAAUUAGGCUCCAGCCUCUCAUCUCGUUAAUAAGCUUCCAGUUCAUUUGCAUACAAAAAAAAAAGAAAAAAAAAAAAAAAAAAA
rnacentral:lncRNA from 1 species